rnacentral:misc_RNA from 1 species
UCUUCAUCUUCAUCUUCAUCUUCACCGUCCUCGUCCUCUUCUUCCACAGUAUCUUCCUCGCCUUCAUCAGGCCCAUCUUCUUCAUCACCACCUUCGUCUUCAUCAUCUUCACCGUUCUCUUCAGCACCUCCUGCCCCUUCUCUAGGAUGUUUUCUGGAGUUGCUGUCAUUUGUGUUUGGGUUAUUGUUCACAUUUUCUCCAUCUUCAGAUGACAAGUCUUCACCUUCAUCUCCGUCUCCAUCCUCAUCCCCUGUCUCAUUGCCGUCUUCCUCAGCAUCAAGAGGCUUGCUUGGGGAAGAUACAUGAUGCUCAUCUCCCUUUUUAGCCUUUUGUUCAAGAAGCUUCAAGUACCCCUGGGUGAGAGUGAGAAUGUGAGUUUUAACCAGUGAAGAAAUAAAUAAAGCUACCAGUGAUUGACCGGCGCAAGUUAGCAUACUCUGUCUAAUCAUGGCAACAGAGACUGAACCUCUGCUUGUCUCCAUCAGUACGGUACGGUACAAUUACACCAACAAACUCAGAUCGCGGAAAGACAGAUCGGUGCUCCGAUGAAGCAGAUCGGAGGAAUUUCAGAGCUAUAUCGUAGAGAAAUUAAGAUCAAAAGCAGCGUUCAUUCUGGACCGUCCGAUCAACAU